GAUCAUUUUGUUUUAUGCGGCGAGCCGGUUCUUUUCCUUCUGGAUUGGUCUGGCGAGUUGCGUUCACCGUGUCUUCUUAGAGGGACCGGCUGCAUUCAGCAGCACGAGACGGAGCAAUAACAGGUCUGUGAUGCCCUUAGAUGUCCUGGGCCGCCCGCGCGCUACACUGGAGGAAUCAGCGUGCACUCCCUGCCCGAGAGGGUCGGGUAACCCGCUGAAAUUCCUUCGUGAUUGGGAUCGGGGUUUGCAACUAUCCCCCGUGAACGAGGAAUUCCCAGUAAGCGCGAGUCAUCAGCUCGCGUUGAAUUACGUCCCUGCCCUUUGUACACACCGCCCGUCGCUACUACCGAUUGAAUGAUUUAGUGAGGCCUUUGGACUGGCUCGCCGGUGCGCGUCAUCCAAUAACUGGUUGGCGUCGUGCUGGUUCAUCGGGCCGGGAAGCUGGCCAAACUUGACCAUUUAGAGGAAGUAAAAGUCGUAACAAGGUUUCCGUAGGUGAACCUGCGGAAGGAUC
rnacentral:rRNA from 1 species